GUGCCAGCCGCCGCGGUAAUACGGAGGGUGCGAGCGUUAAUCGGAAUUACUGGGCGUAAAGCGCAUGCAGGUGGUUCAUUAAGUCAGAUGUGAAAGCCCGGGGCUCAACCUCGGAACCGCAUUUGAAACUGGUGAACUAGAGUGCUGUAGAGGGGAGUAGAAUUUCAGGUGUGGCGGUGAAAUGCGUAGAGAUCUGAAGGAAUACCAGUGGCGAAGGCGGCCCCCUGGACAGACACUGACACUCAGAUGCGAAAGCGUGGGGAGCAAACAGGAUUAGAAACCCCCGUAGUCC
rnacentral:rRNA from 1 species